UUGGUUCUGCGGCCCGGCCGGGAGCGAGCUCCGCGCGGCCGGGAGGGAGCCAAGGGCUCCCCAGGUUCAAAGGGCCGCAGCCCUGAGGGAAUGCCCUCUUCGUUGUGUCCCGGGGUACAGAAGCGGACUGCAGGGCUGUGGGACCGGCCUAGGUCACGGAGAAAACCCAGAUACUGGGCUAGAUAUAUGCAGCUGACCAAGAAAGAUAAAGUAUAAAUAAGAAGACAGAAGUCACUGCUGUUGUUGACAUACUGAAGAUCAUCAAAGAAGCUCAUAAAUUAGAGUGCCAAAGAUGCAAUAUUGCUUUUGAUGUAUCUGAAGUAGCAUAAAGUGAAGUCUUGGAAACUACAUCACAUUUUCAAGAAAGAAAGAAAAGUUAAAGAGGUGGGGGAAGACGAUAGCUUAAAAAUAAUUUAAACUGUGACAACUGUAUCAAAGGACUUCGCUACUGACAUUCAACAUGACAACCUCAAACUUAACACUGCUUUAUUAAUGUUUGCAGUGCACUCACAAUUUUUCAACUAUACUCUCCUUUAGAAAAAAAAAGCUGCCAUGCAUGUUAUCUGUUUUCAAAUUUGUCAGACAUACUCCAAGAAUACUGAUUAGAGAAUUAGAUUAAAAUUGAAAAACAUUGUGUUGUAUUCAUAUUGAAAGGGAAAUUUUAUUCCUAUAAAAGUAUUUAAAGUGUAUCAUACAUUUGUUCCUGGAAUUGACAUUUUGUGUUUUUAAUUUUUUGUUCCUAUCAAACAAAAUUUUUUUUAUAUUGGAUCAAGUCAUUUUAUCUCUAUAGCCUAUUUUCACUGUCCUUGCUGGACCUAUGAGCAUGGGCAAACACUUUUUAAUUGUCCUGAUCAAGUGUGGGGGACAUCCUUUUGCUGACCCCACUUGUAAUCAAUGGUGAUCUCCUAGAAGCAGGUGAAUUGAUUGCCUCUCUCCUCCCCAGCUAGUCAGAAGAGUGGGUCAUACAUUAUCCUGCCCCUUGGAAAAAUCCAACUCAGUGAUUGAUUUUAUGACUGCUUGUGGCAGCAAAUUCCUCAGCAUGAAUUCUAGCAGGUGAAGAAGUAUUUCCUAUAACUUGCUCUAAAUUUCCUUAGAAUUAACUUCUCUGAGUGGUCCAGCCUCUUAUAGGACAAUGGAAUAAGGAUCUAUCAGUUUUACUGCCUAGUACCUAUCUUUAAUGCCUAAGUAAAUCUCUCUUAUUUUCCAGACUUGAGUUAGUAAUUUUAACUUUUGAAAUAUCCCGUCAUGAACAAAUCUAGAUGGGACUCACUUCUUUCCCUACUCUGGAACUCAGCCAUCCCUGCACUAAAUUUUCUUAAGAGGAAAAUGAAGACAGUAACUCUUACAGAUGUUAGACCAUCAUCAUCAUUAUCAGCAGCAGCAGCAGCAAUAAUGAUUCUUAACUCUGAGAAGCUACCCAGUUCCUGAAACAUGGAAAGUAUGCUAUUUCAAGAAUCCUCAAACAAGUCUUUAAAGUAAGGACAUUUAAUAUUCCCAUCCCACAGAUAAAGAAACUGAGGCCUAGAGUUAAAUUAUCUCUCCAAGGUCUAAAUACAUCAUGCAAAGGUGGAGCAGUUAGUCUGACUCUAAAGCCUCUGAUCUUCAUUGUUACAAUUUCUGGUAAUGUAGUGGAAUAAAAGUAAACUAAAAAGUG